AUCACAGACAUUCAGUUACUGUUCAUCGGACAGUUAUGUAGGUACAACCGUCCCAUUCACCCAUAAUGAUGGCUCCUACAGACAGGCAUCAAGACAUUCAGUUACUGUUCCAUCGGACAGUUUUUAGGUACAAACCGCAAGUCUUUUUAAAUCUUGAAUACACUACAGUUUACAUUAAAUCUUUAGCAAGAAAAGUAAUCAAAUGAUGUGUGUCUCCUCUCUCUGUGUCUCUCUCUCUGUGUCUCUCUCUCUGUGUCUCCUCUGGUCUUCUCUCUGUGUCUCUCUCUUGUGUCUCUCUUCUCUGUGGGCCUCUCCAGGUCGUGUGGAGUUGGAGAGGACACUAUAGAUGUUAUAUUGUCAGUAUCAGGUCUCCUCCAGCUCCAGUCAGUGGUCCAGGCCUGCUGUAACUUCCUCAUCAAACAGCUCACCCGUCUAACUGUCGGGGAUACGCAGUCGCAGACACACAGAGCUGUCACACCUUCAACCACACUGCCCCAGCUACACCAUGUAGGUACACACUGCCCACAGCUACACCAUGGUAGGUACACAGCUACACCAUGGUAG
rnacentral:lncRNA from 1 species